CGUGUCACGAAUGAGGCGAAGCGGCGCCAGUUGUCGGGCUGGAACAGGUCGGGGCCCAUGCGGAGGUACGUGAACGCCACCAUCCGCUCCUCCUGA
rnacentral:rRNA from 1 species